rnacentral:siRNA from 1 species
GAAUUUGAACCAAAUGGCCAGAAG